rnacentral:rRNA from 1 species
AUUGAACGCUGGCGGCAGGCUUAACACAUGCAAGUCGAGCGAUCCGCGGACGUGUGUGUCAUGUCUGGGACACUGCCUGAUGGAGGGGGAUAACUACUGGAACCGUUUGCUACUACCGCAUACCUUCAGAUGUGCCUAGAUGGGAUUGGCUUGUAGGUGGGGUAAUGGCUCACCUAGGCCACGAUCCCUAGCUGGUCUGAGAGGAUGACCAGCAACACGGGAACUGAGACACGGUCCAGACUCCUAGGGGAGGCAGCAGUGGGGAAUAUUGGACAAGGGGCGCAAGCCGGAUGCAGCCAUGCCGCGUGUGGGAAGAAGGCCUUCGGGUUGUAAAGCACUUUCAGCGAGGAGGCGUUACUCGCAGAAGAAGCACCGGCUAACUCCGUGCCAGCCGCCGCGGUAAUUC